GGCUGUUUUUCCCAUAGGGAGCCUUCAGGCACAGAAGCCAGCCAAUUCCAGUCCUCUGCCCCAGGUAAGUAGAUCCUCAGAGAGAGACUGACCAAAGGAGGGCCGAAGGAGGGCAGUGUGAAUGGAUCAUUUUCUUCUAGAAUAGGACGGCAGUCAGGGGGAGCCAGGACCUAUUCAAGGAGCCCAGGCUAGGGAGAAGCAGGGGGAGGGGAGGGUCCAUGCUAGGAUACCACAGUAUAAGGGGAACUGAGGGGAGGCACAGUGGGGGCUCGAAAUCAAAAUGGAGCCUGAAAUCAAGGGACAGGGUCCUCAAGAAGGAAGGCCGGGGGACUCCAGCAAGGAACCAGGCCCAGGAAUGGAGAGCCAAGUGCCUUGGCCCUGGCCAGGGUUGCAUGAAAAGGGACAGGGCUGGGAAGGGGAGGGAGAGAAGAAAGGUGAGCGGGUGGUGCAGGGAUUGGAGGGCUCAAGGCCUAGGUCCACUGUUGGCUGGGUGUCAGGGUUGGACAGCUGGGUUUGGGCUGAGGGAGGCCAAAGGGCCCAGACAAGGGGCAGGGCUACAUUUUCCUAAAGGGAGACCACAGGGACAAAAAACCAGGUCUAAUUCCCUGGCCCUGGUGAGAAUCCUGGUUAGGGGCCUGGCAGGGACAGGGACGACAAGAGGGCCAAAGAAAGGCACAGUGUGAAGGGCCACAGGAUGGUUGUUGGUGGGGUGGGGGCCAGGACCCCAGCAAGGAGCCCAGACUAGGGACCUAUUGCAGGGCCCAGGCCAGGGGAGUGCAGGAAAGGAUGGUGCCAGAUAGGAGGGAAGCACUAGGGUUCUGCAGUGCAGGGAAGCCAAGGGAUGCAGGGAAGCACCCAAAGCAAGUGGCCCACAGUCCAAUCCCCAGGACGGACAGAGCAAGAAGGGCCACCAGAGGGUCAACUGAGAAGCCAGGCCAGGGUAUGGAGAGCCAAGGGCCAGUGCUUGGGCAGGGGGCUCAGGAGAGUGGACAGGGCUGGGGAGGGAAGGCUGGAGAUCCAGUAGUGGGGAGCCAGGCUCUAGUGCCAGCACCACUGCCAAAUGUUAUGGUUCUGGGUACAGGACCAAGGGCCCAGGGAGAGUAAGGGGCCUAGGUGAGGGGAAGGCUCUGUUUCCCACAAGGUGCCCUGGC
rnacentral:lncRNA from 1 species